CCAAUAGCGUAUAUUAAAGUUGUUGCAGUUAAAAAGCUCGUAGUUGAAUUUCAGGCCUGGCUGGACGGUCCGCCCUUCGGGUGAGUACUGUCUGUGGUCGGGUCCUACCUUCUGGCGAAGCGUCAUGGCCUUAACCGGCCGUGGCGGGGAACCAGGACUUUUACUGUGAAAAAAUUAGAGUGUUCAAAGCAGGCAAUCGCUUGGAUACAUUAGCAUGGAAUAAUGGAAUAGGACAAUGGUUCUAUUUGUUGGUUUCUAGGACCGUUGUAAUGAUUAAUAGGGACAGUUGGGGGCAUUAGUAUUCAAUUGUCAGAGGUGAAAUUCUUGGAUUUAUUGAAGACUAACUACUGCGAAAGCAUUUGCCAAGGAUGUUUUCAUUAAUCAAGAACGAAAGUUAGGGGAUCGAAGACGAUCAGAUACCGUCGUAGUCUUAACCAUAAACUAUGCCGACUAGGGAUCGGAUGAUGUUAAUUUUUUAAUGACUCAUUCGGCGCCUUACG
rnacentral:rRNA from 1 species